UCUUGGACAGCCAUGCUCUCAGGUGUCCGUGCCGGAAGUUAUUCGAGGAACCAAGUUCCUUACCCUGUUUGAUAAAAUAUAAAAUUUUCCUCAUUUUUGAGCGAUUCAGCAAAAUUAAAAAAAAUUAUUUAUUUUAAUGCGAAUUUGUUGCAAUGUGUUUCUUUUCACUCAAACAAUGCUUUCAAUUCAAAAAAUAAUAAAAAAUCAGAAAAAAUUUUUUAAAAAAUUUUCAACUCGAAAAUUUCAUAAGGCUUACCCCUUACGUUUUUUUUGGGAAAUUUUGCAAAAAAAAUGAAAUUGAUUUAUUUUAAUGCCAAUUGGUUGCAAUGUGUUUCUUUUCAUUCAAGUAAUGCUUUAAAUAAAAAAAAAAGUGAAAAAUAAUAAAAAAAUCAAAAAGUUCAAAAAAAUGAAAAUUGACUAAGGCUCAUUUUUGCACCAAGUUUUGCCUAUAACUCGGUCGGUAUCCAACGGAUCGCCAAUCUUUAACUUGUGGUCGAUAGAUGGCACCAAUGGCUACAUUUUCUUCUGGGACAGCCAUGCUCUCAGGUGUCCGUGCCGGAAGUUAUUCGAGGAACCAAGUUCCUUACCCUGUUUGAGAAAAUGUAAAAUUUUCCUCAUUUUUGCAGCAAGUUUUGCCUAUAACUCGGUCGGUAUCCAACGGAUCGCCAAUCUUUAACUUGUGGUCGAUAGAUGGCACCAAUGGCUACAUUUUCUUCUUGGACAGCCAUGCUCUCAGGUGUCCGUGCCGGAAGUUAUUCGAGGAACCAAGUUCCUUACCCUGUUUGAGAAAAUGUAAAAUUUUCCUCAUUUUUGAGCAAUUCAGGAAAAUUAAAAAAAAAAUGAUUUAUUUUAAUGCGAAUUUGUUGCAAUGUGUUUCUUUUCACUCAAAUAAUGCUUUAAAUUAGAAAAAUAAUAAAAAAUCAGAAAAAAUUUUUUAAAAAAUUUUCAACUCGAAAAUUUCAUAAGGCUUACCCCUUACGUUUUUUUUUUGGGAAAUUUUGCAAAAAAAUGAAAUUGAUUUAUUUUAAUCCCAAUUGGUUGCAAUGUGUUUCUUUUCACUCAAGUAAUGCUUUAAAUAAAAAAAAGAGUGAAAAAUAAUAAAAAAAUCAAAAAAUUCAAAAAAAUGAAAAUUGACUAAGGCUCAUUUUUGCACCAAGUUUUGCCUAUGACUCGGUCGGUAUCCAACGGAUCGCCAAUCUUUAACUUGUGGUCGCUAGAUGGCACCAAUGGCUACAUUUUCUACUGGGACAGCCAUGCUCUCAGGUGUCCGUACCGGAAGUUAUUCGAGGAACCAAGUUCCUUACCCUGUUUGAUAAAAUGUAAAAUUUUCCUCAUUUUUGCACCAAGUUUUACCUAUAACUCGGUCGGUAACCAACGGAUCGCCAAUCUUUAACUUGUGGUCGAUAGAUGGCACCAAUGGCUACAUUUUCUUCUUGGACAGCCAUGCUCUCUGGUGUCCGUGCCGGAAGUUAUUCGAGGAACCAAGUUCCUUACCCUGUUUGAUAAAAUAUAAAAUUUUCCUCAUUUUUGAGUAAUUUAGGAAAAUUUAAAAAAAUGAUUUAUUUUAAUGCGAAUUUGUUGCAAUGUGUUUCUUUUCACUCAAAUAAUGCUUUAAAUUAGAAAAAUAAUAAAAAAUCAGAAAAAAAAUUUUAAAAAAUUUUCAACUCGAAAAUUUCAUAAGGCUUACCCCUUACGUUUUUUUUGGGAUAUUUUGCAAAAAAAAUGAAAUUGAUUUAUUUUAAUGCCAAUUGGUUGCAAUGUGUUUCUUUUCACUCAAGUAAUGCUUUAAAUAAAAAAAGAGUGAAAAAUAAUAAAAAAAUCAAAAAAAUCAAAAAAAUGAAAAUUGACUAAGGCUCAUUUUUGCACCAAGUUUUGCCUAUAACUCGGUCGGUAUCCAACGGAUCACCAAUCUUUAACUUGUGGUCGAUAGAUGGCACCAAUGGCUACAUUUUCUUCUUGGACGGCCAUGCUCUCAGGUGUCCGUGCCGGAAGUUAUUCGAGGAACCAAGUUCCUUACCCUGUUUGAGAAAAUGUAAAAUUUUCCUCAUUUUUGCACCAAGUUUUGCCUAUAACUCGGUCGGUAUCCAACGGAUCGCUAAUCUUUAACUUGUGGUUGAUAGAUGGCACCAAUGGCUACAUUUUCUUCUUGGACGGCCAUGCUCUCAGGUGUCCGUACCGGAAGUUAUUCGAGGAACCAAGUUCCUUACCCUGUUUGAGAAAAUGUAAAAUUUUCCUCAUUUUUGCACCAAGUUUUGCCUAUAACUCGGUCGGUAUCCAACGGAUCGCCAAUCUUUAACCUGUGGUCGAUAGAUGGCACCAAUGGCUACAUUUUCUUCUUGGACAGCCAUGCUCUCUGGUGUCCGUGCCAGAAGUUAUUCGAGGAACCAAGUUCCUUACCCUGUUUGAGAAAAUGUAAAAUUUUCCUCAUUUUUGCACCAAGUUUUGCCUAUAACUCGGUCGGUAUCCAACGGAUCGCCAAUCUUUAACUUGUGGUCGAUAGAUGGCACCAAUGGCUACAUUUUCUUCUUGGACGGCCAUGCUCUCUGAUGUCUGUGCCGGAAGUUAUUCGAGGAACCAUGUUCCAUACCCUGUUUGAGAAAAUGUAAAAUUUUCCUCAUUUUUGAGCAAUUCUGCAAAAUUUAAAAAAAUGAUUUAUUUUAAUGCGUAUUUGUUGCAAUGUGUUUCUUUUCACUCAAAUAAUGCUUUAAGUUAGAAAAAUAAUAAAAAAUCAGAAAAAAAUUUUAAAAAAAUUUUCAACUCUAAAAUUUCAUAAGGCUUACCCCUUACGUUUUUUUUGGGAAAUUU